CCUACGGGAGGCAGCAGUGGGGAAUAUUGGACAAUGGGGGCAACCCUGAUCCAGCCAUGCCGCGUGUGUGAAGAAGGCCCUCGGGUUGUAAAGCACUUUCAGUGAGGAAGAACGCCUGGUGGUUAAUACCCAUCAGGAAAGACAUCACUCACAGAAGAAGCACCGGCUAACUCCGUGCCAGCAGCCGCGGUAAUACGGAGGGUGCGAGCGUUAAUCGGAAUUACUGGGCGUAAAGCGCGCGUAGGUGGCUUGAUAAGCCGGUUGUGAAAGCCCCGGGCUCAACCUGGGAACGGCAUCCGGAACUGUCAAGCUGGAGUGCAGGAGAGGAAGGUAGAAUUCCCGGUGUAGCGGUGAAAUGCGUAGAGAUCGGGAGGAAUACCAGUGGCGAAGGCGGCCUUCUGGACUGACACUGACACUGAGGUGCGAAAGCGUGGGUAGCAAACAGGAUUAGAUACCCCUGUAGUC
rnacentral:rRNA from 1 species